rnacentral:rRNA from 1 species
UACGAAGGGGGCUAGCGUUGCUCGGAAUCACUGGGCGUAAAGCGCACGUAGGCGGCUUUCUAAGUCAGGGGUGAAAUCCCGGAGCUCAACUCCGGAACUGCCUUUGAUACUGGAGAGCUUGAGUCCGGGAGAGGUGAGUGGAACUGCGAGUGUAGAGGUGAAAUUCGUAGAUAUUCGCAAGAACACCAGUGGCGAAGGCGGCUCACUGGCCCGGUACUGACGCUGAGGUGCGAAAGCGUGGGGAGCAAACAGG